UAAAAAAAAACUCAAGCAAUAUGAUUCUUUCUUAAAAUAAAUACUUGCAAUUCUUCAAUGUGACUUCGUUCGCUCAACAUUUGAUAACAAUAAGUACAUAUUUACGUAUGAUUAUUGUUAUACAAAAUUAGAACUAAUGAAAAUAGCAGAUUUAACACAAUAAUCGGAAAUAGCAAAUAGUAAAUUUACAAUUGUAAUGUGUUAUUUAAAACACUAGUACGUAUUGUGUAUUUUUUAUCUCGUGAGAAAUCACUAUUAAAUCGAUCAAAUAUUUAACACGGAAUGUUUGUUUGAUAUAAUUGUAACAUAUUGUGUCACUUUUUUAAGAAUUUGUUUUUCAUGCAAUUUAUGUAAUUACGCAAGAAUCGAGUUGUCGUUGAUUUUUAAAUGCCGGAAAUGUCAGUCCGCAAAUAAUUUUCGAUGAAAGAUAAACAACACAAUCGCAUUGCAAUAAUAUAAAAACGGCUAUGGUGCUGUGCACGAGUUGUUAGUACGAGCGUACGUUUCGACGUAAAAGAAAAAAAAAUGAAGCUCUUCAGCAGACUGUUCUGUUUCUUUCUGAUGUGCAUCGUAGCAACGAUGUGCAUGACUGUCGGAAGUCAUUCUUCUGGUGGGAUUGAAGGACAGCGAAAAGUAGCUUGUGGAAGAGGAAGACGACCACCAACAACAACACCAGCAACAACAACAACCGGAUCAUAAAUAAAAUUUUACAAAAUAGAAGGCAAGCCGCGGAUGAAAUUAAUCUCCAGUUCUCCAGGCGGAUAUAAAAAUUGCAAACGUCGUAGAAGAAAUGUAAAAUUAUUAUCUUUUGUGACCUUUAAAUGACUUCACUAUUUUGAUCCGCGUAUAAAUAUUGUUACGUAUCAAAAUUCAAGACACCUUGAUAUGCGAGCAAAUUAAUAUUGGAAUUAAAAAUUUUGUAUUUGUUACACAGUUCGCGACAUCAUCUAAUUUUAUCGAUGUUGCUUUGAUGUAUAUUUCAAACGUUACACGAGUCGUAAUAAAGACGCAACAUACAAAGUGUUUCAAUGUUUAUUAUAUAAUCCUGGCAGUCGUUGUAUUAUUCGCAAUAUUUUUGACUCAUACAUGUUUCUUAUACAACAAUGCAUAAUAUUACGUUACUUACAAUUCUAGUCUUAAUAUGUCCUUAGUUCUCGCGCGUAAUUAUAUAUCGUACAUCGAUACUUACACAAGAGAAAAGGAAAAACAUUGAAAUUGCCAAAUGAUACCUCUGUACAGACACACAUCUGUUAUUGUCUAUCCUAUAUAUUACAUUUUAUUGCUCUCCGCUCUCUCGUUUUAAUCGCCUAUACUUCUUAUAUACAAUGGCUACAUGUAAUAGUCGUAAAAAUCUAUAGGAAAAAACCUAUAAAAAAAAAAAAAA